rnacentral:tRNA from 1 species
CCUCGCUUUGUGGUAGAGCAUGGUGUUUGCAACGCCAGGGUUGUGGGUUUGUUUCCCACGG